UGCAGGCGGUGGCGAACGGCGUGUCGUUGUUGCCGUGGAUGAGGAUCACCGGCGUUCGUGUCACCGCGCCGGCGGC
rnacentral:tRNA from 1 species